CCUACGGGUGGCAGCAGUGAGGAAUAUUGGUCAAUGGACGGAAGUCUGAACCAGCCAUGCCGCGUGCAGGAAGAAGGCUCCAUGAGUUGUAAACUGCUUUUGUACAAGGGUAAACCUGAAUACGUGUAUUCAGUUGAAAGGACUGUACGAAUAAGGAUCGGCUAAAUCCGUGCCAGGAGCAGCGGUAAUAAGGAGGAGCCAAGCGGUAUCAGGAUUUAGUGGGUUUAAAGGGUGCGUAGGCGGAUUGAUAAGUUAGAGGUGAAAUGUUCGGGCUUAACUCGGGAACUGCCUCUAAUACUGUUGAUCUAGCGAGUAGAUGCGGUAGGCGGAAUGUAUGGUGUAGCGGUGAAAUGCUUAGAGAUCAUACAGAACACCGAUUGCGAAGGCAGCUUACCAAUCUAUAUCUGACGUUGAGGCACGAAAGCGUGGGGAGCAAACAGGAUUAGAUACCCUUGUAGUC
rnacentral:rRNA from 1 species